AUAGAAGCAAAAUUUGAUUACAUCCUUUUAAAUGUAUCUGAGUAUAAUUUAGCUCACGGGGUGCUCUUGAAUGCAACACAAGAGUGCGGCUCCAGCACAUUAAAUGCUGUGCAGCAGUGUAGAACCGAACGGGUAAGGGACCGCAUUCUCACCGCGAAUUUAAAACGACACCGGCCUCCCUGGAUGCGCCUCCAGACUGGAAAACGGUGGAAAGUCAUAACCGCAACCGAUUUGUUCCCCAUCACUCCACUUAUGUGACGCAACAACGUCUCACCCACAAACACGCCUCAAAACAGCGGCUCGGCCACAUGCAGCUCAUACGGCCUCUAGUGGUUGUUACGCGUUACUACCUGUCGAAUAAUUUUCCAGAUUCCCCUGCAGUGUUACGUCACCUUGGCUCUGGAUGCGUGGGUUGGGAUGUUCGUCACAUUGCUGUCAUGACAUAUCAAAUCUCUUAUUGUAACGCAGCACUUUAAUAACUAUACAUAUAUAUAUAGUUCCAUCAUUAAAGAUCCCCCCUUGGACACAUUGCACCAGAGCGUAACAGAAAGUCACAAUGCCAUCCCAGCCGGCCCUUCAGCAGCUGUGGAAGUGGUCCCCAGCUUCAGGUUCCUGGGUAUGCACAUAUCCAAUGACCUCACACUUCCCGUCUGGUCCCGGCUGAGGAGCAUUCUUACUACACACUGACCUGCACUAAACACUUCACCCACCAAUGAUGCAAUAUUUUACUCACUUAUAGAUGAAAUGCAAUAUUAGGAACUAUCUCAUGCUUUACAUGUGUAUUUAGUACUUUGUGUAUAUUUGUUUUUUCUUUGCUCUUCAUAUAUUUUUACUGAUUGCUAUUUAUUGUUAGAUUUCGUUUGUAUGUUGUACUUUUCUUUUUACUUAAGUAUUAGGCUUCUUAACGGGAGCUGAGUCUGAAUUGUGUACCUUAACAUGUAAAUGUGAGCUGGUAUGACAAUAAAAACCCUUGAAUCCAUGUACCCAUGUAGUUCUUGUAGUCACGGUGUGCAUUAAUAGCUUUUUAGUGCUAUUUGUAAUAUAGAAACAAAAAGAAAGCAAAAUGUAACAAAAUAAGUAAAAAUGAGUUGAGUUUGGCAGAAACAACAAUCACCAAUCGCACCAAUUAAAUUUAACAAGGCAAUGCACUAAUUGUAAAUAACAAUUAGCUGUAUAUUAUACAGUUAAUUGUUUGUAACACAGAGACAUUUUAAAGAGACAAACCAAAAACAAAAAAGCUUCUGUGGUACAAAAAGGUAAGACAUUCACUUCUGGGUGAAAGUACCAGGUUUGAGUCCUGGCAGGGGCUGAAAAAAAGUUUGUCCUAUCUAGAAAUCAUAGAAGCUCUGCCAACUAUUACCAUUCUUUACCGUGACUCUAUCAUUUCUUGAUGUAUUUGUAACUGGCUUAAAGGCUGUUUUUUGGACUCUUUUCUAUUGAAGGUUCUAGCUCCGCACGUCUCUACUCGGCAUGGAGCUUGUUGUGUUUCCACUGACUCACUGAUGGCUGGACUUGGCUUGAACCCUCUGUGAUAGAAAAAGCUGCUUUUUCUAUCACUUUUUUCUAUUCUUGCUCUUUUUUAAUGAAGUUGUAUGAUUGUCUUGAGUGUAUAGGUUAUGUUUUGUCUUUCUUAUGCGUGAACUUUGAGUAGGUUUUCUCUGUCCCCAGGCUUAAGGUUGUCUGCAAGACUGCACCUGUAACAGAACAAGAAAAUUAAUAGAAAAUGUAAAAACAUAAAUAAACAAAAUACAAAUAAUGUUUGUAUUGUUGUAUAUGGAGGAAUGUCCUAUAUAUGUGUCCUGAUCUGUAUGAAUAAAAUAAAAUAAAAUAAUAAAAUAACAAAAUAAUCUGUCA